UCCCGGUUCACCCGGGCAGUCUCACUAGAGUUCCCACCAUUACGUGCUGGCAACUAGUGAUAAGGGUUGCGCUCGUUGCGGGACUUAACCCAACACCUCACGGCACGAGCUGACGACAGCCAUGCAGCACCUGUGCAGAGACCCUCGCGGGAAAUGCCAUCUCUGGCAUCGUCCUCUGCAUGUCAAGCCUGGGUAAGGUUCUUCGCGUUGCAUCGAAUUAAACCACAUGCUCCACUGCUUGUGCGGGUCCCCGUCAAUUCUUUUGAGUUUCACCCUUGCGGGCGUACUCCCCAGGCGGUAUACUUAUCGCGUUAGCUACGGCACAGCCAGGGUUGAGUCCGGCUACACCAAGUAUACAUUGUUUACGGCAAGGACUAC
rnacentral:misc_RNA from 1 species